AUGGUGAAAGUGAAGGCCGAAAUAAAUGACAUUGGCCGCAUUGGGCACCUGGUCACCUGGGCUGCUGUUAACUCUGACAACGUGGAUAUUGUCACCAUCAACUACCCCUUCAUUGACCUCAAUCUACAUGGACGCCUGGUCUACAUGUUCCAAUACGACUCCACCCACGGCAAGUUCAAUGGCACUGUCAAGGUGGAGAACGGGAAGCUUGUCAUCAAUGGCCAGCCCAUAACCAUCUUCCAGGAGCGAGAUCCCACCAAAAUCAAAUGGGGUGAAGUGGGCACUGAUUACAUUGUGGAGUCCGCUGGUGUCUUCACUAUCCUGGAGAAGGCCAGGGCUCACCCAGAUGGGGGUGCCAAAAGGGUCAUCAUCUCUUCCCCCUCUGCUGACGCCCCCAUGUUUGUGAUGGGUGUGAACCACGACAAGUACCAAAACAACCUCACCAUUGUCAGCAAUGCCUCCUGCACCACCAACUGCUUACCCCCCUGGCCAAGGUAUUCCAUGACAACUUUGGCAUCGUGGAGGGACUCAUGACCACAGUCCAUGCAGUCACUGCCACCCAGAAGACCAUGGAUGGCCCCUCUGGGAAGAUGUGGCGUGAUGGCCGUGGGGCUCUCCAGAACAUCAUCCCUGUGUCGACUGGCGUGGCCAAGGCCAUAGGCAAGGUCAUCCCUGAGCUGAACGGGAAGCUCACUGUUAUGGCCUUCUGCGUCCCCACUGCCAACGUGUCCAUGGUGGACCUGACCUGCCAUUUGGAGAAGCCAGCCAAGUAUGAUGACAUCAAGAAGGUGGUGAAGCAGGCGGCGGAUGGCCCCCUCAAGGGCAUCCUGGGCUACACUGAGCACCAGGUUGUCUCCUCUGACUUCAACAGCGACACCCACUCUUCCACCUUUGAUGCUGGGGCUGGCAUCACCCUCAACGACCACUUUGUAAAGCUCGUUGCCUGGUAUGACAAUUAAUUUGGCUAUAGCAACAGGGUGGUGGACCUCAUGGCCCACAUGGCCACCAAGGAGUAA